rfam:Haemonchus contortus, ISE/inbred ISE, WGS project CAVP01000000 data, contig: Hcontortus_9152
GGCCAAAAUUCGAAGUAGAGUAGAUUAUUGGGAUCGGCUGACCCUACUAAUCUACUCUACUUCAAGUUUGUGGCUC